rnacentral:rRNA from 1 species
GACGAACGCUGGCGGCGUGCUUAACACAUGCACGUCGAACGGAAAGGCCCUGCUUUUGUGGGGUGCUCGAGUGGCGAACGGGUGAGUAACACGUGAGUAACCUGCCCUUGACUUUGGGAUAACUUCAGGAAACUGGGGCUAAUACCGGAUAGGAGCUCCUGCUGCAUGGUGGGGGUUGGAAAGUUUCGGCGGUUGGGGAUGGACUCGCGGCUUAUCAGCUUGUUGGUGGGGUAGUGGCUUACCAAGGCUUUGACGGGUAGCCGGCCUGAGAGGGUGACCGGCCACAUUGGGACUGAGAUACGGCCCAGACUCCUACGGGAGGCAGCAGUGGGGAAUAUUGCACAAUGGGCGGAAGCCUGAUGCAGCAACGCCGCGUGCGGGAUGACGGCCUUCGGGUUGUAAACCGCUUUCGCCUGUGACGAAGCGUGAGUGACGGUAAUGGGUAAAGAAGCACCGGCUAACUACGU